CGCAGAACUAUUUCAAAUAACAAUUAAAUUCGUUUUAGCGAGAAAAAAUUUUAGGGGUUAGGUGCACUUUAAGCAGAGUUUAUUUGAAAGAUCAACUCCUGCGUCUUUGUGAAACGUAUGAGGUCCAUUUCCGAAGGGCAGAUACAAAGAAGACCUUGGCCACAAGUUUGAUGGAAGCUACAAGGAGCAAAACCUCAAUUCCAUUCACUGACAGGCAAUUUCAAGUGGUUAACACUGUAGCAGAUGAACGCCAUGGUGCUGUUAGGAUUACACUUAGAUUGACAGGGGAAUCAGAGAGAGAAUCAAGACCAACUUAAAAUCAGCUGGCAGCAUCAACAGAAUUAAGAAUCUACUUUGAGCAUAAGAACUGUGGAGGAAGGAGAAGGCUUACACAAAUCCAAAUUCCAGCAUUUUUCGGACUCCAUCCCAGAAGAUAAAAUACAGGUCACUAGGUGAACAAUCCCCAGAUGGGAACUGCGCUAUGGGGAAGCGAAAGCCCCCGUCACUAAGGAAGAUGAAUUGCAGUACAUGUGGGGCCAGCUGAGGUUCAGAUUUUACUGCAAAUGAACCAUAGGAUGUAUAAUUUCACGUCUUAAAACAUGUAUCAUGGGUAGAUGUCCCGAGCUCAAAACGUACCUGCAAGACUUGUCAUCACGUCAUGGCUCUCACCCAGGUCAACGAAGCCAACAAGGCGAUGCUUGCCAUGUUUUAUGACCAUUUCAAGGUUUUCCUUGUAAGAAGUUCAGUAAUAUCAGUAUCGUAAUUAUGAACUGUAAAAUUCUUAACAAGAAACAGCAAACUUGUACUGUCUUAUAUUUAAUAUACUUUUAAACAACAUUAAAAUUGUUGAAUGACAAUUUAUGGGUUAUCCAAGUGCUUUUGGACCGGUAUGAUGUUGAGCAAGUUUUUGUCAGCACUAGUAACGAACCUGAAUUUCCAUUUCGUCCAUAACGAAUCCUCCCCAGUAAUCCUCUUUUUUCAGUGCCUUUUCUCGUACAGCUUCCAUGCACAACCUUAGCACCUGAUCAUUCCACCCAGGUACCUAGUCAACUUUGUUCUUGUAAAGUAAAGGGAAAAUAUGGGAAAUGGUUUAUGGUGUUUUAACUUCAUAAUAAUAUAUUGCAAUCACACGACAUGAAUCAGUUUGAAGAGGAGAGGAAAUAGCCCCUAAACAAUCAGAUAAAACGGGACUUUAUGAGUAGGAAAUCGUUAAGCUGGAUUUAACAAGAUACAGGAUAUUUAGGCCAAAAAUUAAUAGGGUAUGGGAUAAACAGACCCCCCUCCCUUUAUGGGGCCUCAUCAAUGCUCCGCUGUUAAGGGUAAAUUAAAAGUAUGCCAACUCCAAAAAAGCAUUUAUUCUGGACUUUUAGUUUUUAUAUUACGAUGGAAUAUGAAAGUUUGGUAUCCCAUUUUAGGGGUUUGAAGUUAGGUAACGCACCUCCUUGUUAGUAAUUUCUAAGCCCACAAUCGUUACCCUAAAUAGAUAGAUAAAGACGGCGUUAGAGAAAUAAACAGAGAGUAAAAUAUGUCCCGAAUGCUGUACCGUUUAACACGAUUUUCUUUCAUGACACCCUUUCUGCCUUUGCAAAGAGAUCGAGGCACAACAUCCCGCACUAUAUAUGAAAACAACUAUCCUUAGCUCAUUGACAGCCAUUAGUUUUUGAUGAGAUUUUGAAUUCAGUACUACCAAUAAAAUACGGAUAGAAUUCCA
rnacentral:lncRNA from 1 species